rnacentral:rRNA from 1 species
UACGUAGGGGGCAAGCGUUGUCCGGAUUUAUUGGGCGUAAAGAGCGUGUAGGCGGCCUGACAGGUCUGCUGUGAAAACUCGAGGCUCAACCUCGAGAUGUCGGCGGAAACCGUCUGGCUAGAGUCCGGAAGAGGAGAGUGGAAUUCCUGGUGUAGCGGUGAAAUGCGCAGAUAUCAGGAAGAACACCUAUGGCGAAGGCGGUUCUCUGGGCAUUACCUGACGCUGAGGAGCGAAAGUGUGGGGAGCGAACAGG